UAUGCCUUAGUUUAGAUAGAAUUUUUGUUUUUGGUGCGAAAGGGNACAGGUAUAG
rnacentral:tRNA from 1 species